rnacentral:ncRNA from 2 species
CUCUUAUCGAGAGCGGCGGAGGGACUGGCCCUAUGAAGCCCGGCAACCGGCCUUUUUGGCAAAGGUGCCAAAUCCUGCAGGAGGAUAAUCCUGAGAGAUAAGAG